AAGAAGCGUGGUUGGCCAAACUGUGGCAUUUGCCCACUUUGCAAGAGGGAACAUGAAACGGGGACACACCUCUUCUUCAAGUGUCGGUACACGCUUAGACUUUGGAGAUUGAUCAUCGAGAAGCUUCGACUUGCACACAUGGACACCUCCUAGUGGCACUUGGAUGAAACCGUCAACGCGUGGUAGCAAAAAAGAACCGACGAUAGUAUUCCUAACCGAAACGCAAUGGUCUCCCUCGCCAUGCUCGUUUCUUGGGCCAUUUGAAACGAGAGAAACGCUCAUAUUUUCCGCCACAAAAGCACGCUGCCGACGAUUCUUCUUACCAACAUUUUAGAAGAUGCAAAACUUUAG
rnacentral:rRNA from 1 species